rnacentral:ncRNA from 1 species
GUGUUUUAAGAAAGUAAGGAAAGUUAGCACUCCCCUUGACAAUGACGAACAGGUACUGGGGCCUGACAACAUGCAGACAGUUAAGGCAUUGCCACCUACUUCAAGGCAACUAACCAUCCUUUUUA